rnacentral:lncRNA from 1 species
GCGCCGCCUGCCGGAGGACCGAGGCGCUGCGUCCGCCGCGUGAUCGCGUGUCGCGGUGCAUGUCGGGCCGCUGGCGGUGGUGAGUAUCCCAACCUGCGCUGCUGCUGCUCCGGAGAGAAUGAUGGGAUAGUGGCGGACACACAGCAGCGCUGCAGACACACGCACACCGACAUUAUUCGCGUUAUCCCCGCGCUCUGUCCGUCUGUGUGUGUGUUUGUGCGCGUGUGUGUGAAGCUGCAGUGAGAGGAUGGAGGGUUUGGGCUUCAGGCUGUGGCUCUGAGCGACGGAUCCACCGCUUACAUACAGCAGACCAUCAGUGGUGAGACAAUCUCAUAGAAAUAUGCACAUAGUAUUAGUAUUAUAACUAGUGCUGUCACGAAUAAUCACAUCCAAAAUAAAGAUUUUGUUUACAUACUAUGUGUGUGUGCUGUGUACAUGCUGUGUUUAUAUUACAUACAUUUAUUAAGAAUAUAAAUUAUAUCAGAAUUAAUUGCGAUUAAUUGUUUGACAGCACUAGUAUUUUAAGUCAUUUUAAAGGCUAUUGUUCGCUUAAGUCUUCAAAAAAAAAAUAAUAAUUAGUUGUACAAGUGUGACGCGGCUGUGUUUAAGGUGGUAACUGUGUGUGUGUGUGUGUGUCAGAGCUGCAGUGAGAGGAUGGAGGUUUGGGGGCUUCAGGCUGUGGCUCUGAGCGACGGAUCCACCGCUUACAUACAGCAGACCAUCAGUGGUGAGACAAUCUCAUAGAAAUAUGCACAUAGUAUUAGUAUUAUAACUAGUGCUGUCACGAAUAAUCACAUCCAAAAUAAAAGAUUUUGUUUACAUACUAUGUGUGUGUGCUGUGUACAUGCUGUGUUUAUAUUACAUACAUUUAUUAAGAAUAUAAAUUAUAUCAGAAUUAAUUGCGAUUAAUUGUUUGACAGCACUAGUAUUUUAAGUCAUUUUAAAGGCUAUUGUUCGCUUAAGUCUUCAAAAAAAAAAAUAUAAUUAUCCGAUUAAUUGAAUUAAUCGUCAGAAUAAUCGACUGAUUACUCG